UACGUAGGCAGCGAGCGUUUGUUCGGAGUUACUGGGCGUAAAGGGUGUGUAGGCGGUUCUUUUAAGUUUGGUGUGAAAUCUCCCGGCUCAACCGGGAGGGUGCGCCGAAUACUGAGGGACUCGAGUGCGGGAGAGGAAAGUGGAAUUCCUGGUGUAGCGGUGAAAUGCGUAGAUAUCAGGAGGAACACCGGUGGUGUAGACGGCUUUCUGGACCGUAACUGACGCUGAGACACGAAAGCGUGGGUAGCAAACAGG
rnacentral:rRNA from 1 species